UCCUAGAUGGUUCAGAUGGUAAAGAAUCUGCCUGCAAUGCAGGAGACCUGAGUUCGAUCCUUGGGUUGGGAA
rnacentral:tRNA from 1 species